rnacentral:rRNA from 1 species
CCUACGGGUGGCAGCAGUGGGGAAUAUUGCACAAUGGGGGAAACCCUGAUGCAGCGACGCCGCGUGAGUGCAGACGUAUUUCGGUAUGUAAAGCUCUGUCAGCAGAGAAGAAAAUGACGGUACCUGACCAAGAAGCUCCGGCGAACUACGUGCCAGCUGCCGCGGUAAUACGUAGGGGGCAAGCGUUAUCCGGAUUUACUGGGUGUAAAGGGAGAGUAGACGGCAGGGCAAGUCUGGAGUGAAAGGCGGGGGCUCAACCCCCCGACUGCUCUGGACACUGCCAGGCUGGAGUGCAGGAGAGGUAGGUGGAAUUCCUGGUGUAGCGGUGAAAUGCGUAGAUAUUAGGAAGAACACCAGUGGCGAAGGCGGCUUACUGGACUGUCACUGACGUUGAGGCUCGAAAGCGUGGGGAGCAAACAGGAUUAGAUACCCCUGUAGUC